AUACGGAGGAUGCGAGCGUUAUCCGGAUUUAUUGGGUUUAAAGGGAGCGUAGGCGGGAGCUUAAGUCAGCGGUUAAAUCGUGGGGCUCAACCCCAUUCUGCCGUUGAUACUGGGGGGCUUGAUUGCGGACGAGGUUGGCGGAAUUCGUUGUGUAGCGGUGAAAUGCAUAGAUAUGACGAAGAACACCGAUUGCGUAGGCAGCUGACCAGACCGCAAAUGACGCUCAUGCACGAAAGUGCGGGGAUCGAACAGGAUUAGAUACCCUGGUAGUCCGCACAGUAAACGAUGAAUACUUGUUUUCGGCGAUAUAAUGUCGGAGGCAAAGCGAAAGCGAUAAGUAUUCCACCUGGGGAGUACGCCGGCAACGGUGAAACUUAAAGGAAUUGACGGGG
rnacentral:rRNA from 1 species